rnacentral:rRNA from 1 species
GUGGGGAAUAUUGGGCAAUGGGGGGAACCCUGACCCAGCAACGCCGCGUGGAGGAAGAAGGUCUUCGGAUCGUAAACUCCUGUCCUAAGAGACGAGGAGAAGACGGUAUCUUAGGAGGAAGCCCCGGCUAACUACGUGCCAGCAGCCGCGGUAAUACGUAGGGGGCAAGCGUUGUCCGGAAUGAUUGGGCGUAAAGGGCGCGUAGGCGGCCUGUUAAGUCUGGAGUGAAAGUCCUGCUUUUAAGGUGGGAAUUGCUUUGGAUACUGAGAGGCUUGAGUGCAGGAGAGGUUAGUGGAAUUCCCAGUGUAGCGGUGAAAUGCGUAGAGAUUGGGAGGAACACCAGUGGCGAAGGCGACUAACUGGACUGUAACUGACGCUGAGGCGCGAAAGUGUGGGGAGCAAACAGGAUUAGAAACCCUAGUAGUCC